rnacentral:rRNA from 1 species
AACGUAGGAGACAAACGUUAUCCGGAGUUACUGGGCGUAAAGGGCGUGUAGGUGGUUUUAUAAGUCUGGCGUGAAAUUUCUCGGCUUAACCGAGGCAGGUCGUCGGAUACUAUGAGGCUAGAGGACGGUAGAGGCGUGUGGAAUUCCGGGUGUAGUGGUGAAAUGCGUAGAGAUCCGGAGGAACACCAGUGGCGAAGGCGACACGCUGGGCCGUACCUGACACUGAUGCGCGACAGCAUGGGGAGCAAACAGG